GGACGAACGCUGGCGGUGUGCUUAACACAUGCAAGUCAACGAGAAUUUAUCUUCGGAUAAUAGUAAAGUGGCGAACGGGUGAGUAACGCGUAAAUAACUUGCCUUGGAGAUUGGGACAACAUUGGGAAACCAGUGCUAAUACCAAUAAUGCAGCGGGCCCUUCGGGGCAUAGUUGUUAAAGUAGGCCUCGGCUUACACUUCAAGAUAGAUUUGCGUCCGAUUAGUUAGUUGGUAGGGUAAUAGCCUACCAAGACCGAGAUCGGUAGCUGGUCUGAGAGGAUGAUCAGCCACACUGGAAUUGAGAUACGGUCCAGACUCCUACGGGAGGCAGCAGUGAGGAAUUUUGCACAAUGGGCGAAAGCCUGAUGCAGCAACACCGCGUGAUUGAUGAAGUUUUUAGGAAUGUAAAAAUCUGUCGUAAGGGAAGAAAUGUUUCGGAUGUUAAUACCAUCUGUUACUGACGGUACCUUACAAGAAAGGACCGGCUAACUUCGUGCCAGCAGCCGCGGUAAUACGAGGGGUCCUAGCGUUGUCCGGAUUUACUGGGCGUAAAGGGUACGUAGGCGUUUUAAUAAGUUGUAUGUUAAAUAUCUUAGCUUAACUAAGAAAGUGCAUACAAAACUGUUAAGAUAGAGUUUGAGAGAGGAACGCAGAAUUCAUGGUGGAGCGGUGACAUGCGUAGAUAUCAUGAGGAAAGUCAAAUGCGAAGGCAGCCUUCUGGGUCAAAACUGACGCUGAGGUACGAAAGCGUGGGGAGCGAACAGGAUUAGAUACCCUGGUAGUCCACGCCGUAAACGAUGAGUAUUUGGUGCUGGGGGAUUCGACCCUUUCAGUGCCGUAGCUAACGCGAUAAAUACUCCGCCUGGGGACUACGAUCGCAAGAUUGAAACUCAAAGGAAUUGACGGGGGACCCGCACAAGCGGUGGAACAUGUGGUUUAAUUCGAUGAUACGCGAAGAACCUUACCUGGGUUUGACAUGUCAGAGAAAGUUUUCCGAAAGGAAAACCCUUUAAUAAUUUAUUAUUAAACUCUGUCACAGGUGAUGCAUGGCUGUCGUCAGCUCGUGCCGUGAGAUGUUAGGUUAAGUCCUGCAACGAGCGCAACCCCUAUAUUUAGUUGCCAGCACAUAAUGGUGGGGACUCUAAAUAGACUGCCCGGAAUAACCGGGAGGAAGGUGGGGAUGAUGUCAAGUCAGUAUGUCCCUUAUACCCAGGGCUACACACGUGUUACAAUGGAUAGUACAAAAAGUAGCAAUUCCGCGAGGAGGAGCCAAUCUUUAAAGCUAUCCCCAGUUCCGAUUGAAGUCUGAAAUUCGACUUCAUGAAGCAGGAAUCGCUAGUAAUCGUAGGUCAGCACACUACGGUGAAUACGUUCCCGGGUCUUGUACUCACCGCCCGUC
rnacentral:rRNA from 1 species